rnacentral:rRNA from 1 species
GAUAUUGCACAAUGGGGGAAACCCUGAUGCAGCGACGCCGCGUGAGUGAAGACGGUCUUUGGAUUGUAAAGCUCUGUCAACGGGGACGAAAAUGACGGUACCCGUGGAGGAAGCCACGGCUAACUACGUGCCAGCAGCCGCGGUAAUACGUAGGUGGCGAGCGUUAUCCGGAAUUACUGGGUGUAAAGGGAGCGCAGGCGGGGGCUCAAGUUGGAUGUGAAAUACCGCAGCUUAACUGCGGGGCUGCAUCCAAAACUGGGUCUCUUGAGUGAGGUAGAGGUAGGCGGAAUUCCUAGUGUAGCGGUGAAAUGCGUAGAUAUUAGGAGGAACACCAGUGGCGAAGGCGGCCUACUGGGCCUUUACUGACGCUGAGGCUCGAAAGCGUGGGGAGCAAACA